UCCCUUGCCCCGUGAGGGCGAUGGCCGGAGCCCGAGGAGCAGGGUGGUGCUGAGGCCCUUUCUUCUGUUAUGCCAUUUGGAGAGUGAGGGAUAGCGACGGCAUGAAGGCAGGGAAGGGUUAGGUGGAUAUCAGGACAAGGUUCUUCACCCAGGGGUUGGCUGGGCACUGGAACGGGCUCUCCAGGGAAGCAGUCACAGCACCAACCCUGGCAGAGUUCAAGAGCUGUUUGGACAAUGCCUUCAGGAACACAAUGUGGCUCUUGGGGCAGUCCUGUGCAGGGCCAGGAGCUGGACUCGAUGAGCCUUGUGGGUCCCCUUCAAUUCAGGAUAUUCGGGGUUUCGUGACUCUGUGGAGGCAGUGCUGGCUGCUGCAUCCUCAUGGCCAAUGUUGGGCCUCAGCUCGUCUGGAAGGGUUGUUGUUUCUCUCUAGGUUUCUGUGCAGGUGCAAGAAGCUGUGGGGUGUUUGUAGCCACCUGCCACUUAAACUGAUAGGAACUUUGAGUCUGGCUGGUUUGUUUUCUCCUUUGGGGUGCCACAGCAGGCUCCUGUGGUGGUGGUUGGAGCUCCUUUUCCUGCUUAAGUGGGAAGGGAUGAAGCAGCACACACCAGGCUCCCAGUGGCACUAUCACCAAAUUACUGCACCAAGUUAUCUUCAAGUAUGCAUUAUUCCAGCAUUGUAACUUCUCUGCAAACACCACCAAGCCCCAUCUUGUCUCCCCUGCUUGGAUCAUCAGCUGAAAGCACAACAGAAAUAGUCUGAAGGUAGAAAUUAACGAAUGUAAUACUCAUAAUCUAGCUGUAAUUUCAAAAACAUUAUUUUUUUUUUUUACAGCCAGAUAAGUCUUCCCUACAGAAACAAAACUAAACAUGGACAAACCCAACAUGCAACUUAUAUAUUCCCAGUUUGUUUUAUUUUCAUGGAAUGCUAAUUUAGUUACAAUCUGGCAGUUCAUAACUACUGAAAUGUGACAUUAAUUCUUCUCCAAUGCUAUAGAACUGUCUUGAUUUAUAUAGUUUUAAAACAAUCUUAUUUUACAAUAGUUGAGGUCUCUGGUGGUUUUUACGCUCUGAUGCUUAAGCACACAGCAAGCUAUAAACCUUAGGUUUUAUAUUUAUACAUAUAUUCUAUGUAUUCAGACAACUGCUGUAAUUUAUCUAUAACUUAAUAUUUAUAAAAAGUGCAUAUACUGGUACAUAUGCACAUCUAGAAACACACUUUUAUACUGCCUCCCUUUUUUAUAAAAAGCUGCAUAAUAUACAGCCAUAUUAUUCUCACUCACUGCUAUUAAAGUCUUUUACUAUCUUUGUUACACAACUUUAACUAUUCAAUUACCUCAAACUGAAUGUAGGCAUUUCUAUGUAUAUCUUCUCCUAAAGAAAAAAAGUCCUCCCUAUUCCUUUAAGAAGCUUUAAAUCAUGCAUCAGUUUAGUACACAGUCACUUUUAGCAUGGAUUUUAUAAUCCUAGACAGUGUAAAAUCUACUUCUGGAAAAUGUCUGUCUGUAUAUUUAAUUUCUUCUUUUAGUUACAAAAAAUAUAUAGGAUUGAAACAUAUGGAAUACAUGCAUCUCUCAAAGUGGCUAUAUUCUAGCCUUAUAGAUAAAUUAAAAAAGUACACCCCUGCUAACAGGAUGCAAACAUGGCAUCAAAUAGGCCAUUACCUGUAUUUAAUAGAGCUCAUUACAUUAAAAAGUUCAAGUCAGCUGUUCUCACAAGAUGGUGUCAAAAGACUGAAGAGCAUGAUAUAUAUAUAUAUAUAGACAAUAUACAAAGGUGGGUGCACAGGCCUAGUGCCAUUCCAUUCUUCAAUACUUUCAAGGCUUCUAGGCUUUGCCUCUGCUGAUGUAACUCCUGAAAUGAUCUGAAUGAAAGCUUAUGUUGAAAAUUGCUUUUUAAAUAUACCAUAAAAGCAACUUGUGUUCAAAAGAAAAAUGUACACUGAACAACCUGAAGUACUCACUGAAACAACUGUACAAAACUGUAAUAGAUACAGAAAGAAAUAAUGGUGGACUUAACUGCAAACACAAGUCACACUUGUUAACAGAUGUAAAAACCUGCUUUGUUUUAAUUCUUCUACCAAGUAAGAAUUUGCAGCUGUUCAGAACAAGUAAAA